CAAAUGGAUACGCAAGCACAACAAACGACGGAAGAUGCAAAUCAACGUCUGAAACUCGCGAUAGCAAUGGCGAUUCUCAAAUACAAGCGUCUUCAGAAGCCUAACGAUGGUGAUCCUCAACCUCCUCCUAGUAAUGGCUCUGAAUCGGACGCCAUCGUAUGGAAACGGAAGGUGAACUUUUCGACUGUAUAUAUUGCUCGUGUGCGUGUAUGGGUGAUUUCACUAAUUGACUGAAAUUCUGAUUCUAGAAUUUGGAAAUUUUAGGCCAAAGAACGGAAAGCUGAAAUUCUCAAACUUAAGGAAGAUCUCAGACUUGCUGAAGGUUAGGCCUCCUUAUUAUGAUUUUUGUCAUUUUUCCAUUUGAACAGAAUCUGAGUCGUGGUGUAAGUAGUCGGAUGGCUUGUUAAUGUGCAGAAGUUUUUAGUAUUCGAAAAAAAUAGCCCUGCUACACGCGUGUACAUGCGUGUUUGUCCAAUAUUGAUACUAUAGAUUUUACAAUUAAUUUUUGAAGUAGAUGGAGUUCAGUAUGAUGUAUUUCCACAAAGUGCAUCAUGCAAAUGCUAUUUCUUCGACAAGUUUGGGGAACUAAGCCCUAAGCUUUCCGAAGAUGGUUCUGAAUCCAAUCAAUGGAGAUUUAAGGACGUGCUGCGUCGUAGAUUUCUUAAACAAGGUUUUCUCUCAUCUUUUACUUAUCAAACCUUUCAUGUUGAAUAUUAUAUCUUCUAAACAAUUUUUUCAUGCGUUUUCUAGUAUUGUUCGUGUUUUAUGUUUCUCCUUUGCUAGAAUUCUAUUAAUUUGAACAUUUGUAGUGAGGUUAAGUGAGAGAAAGAGAAGACGACUUGGUGGCUUGACAGAACGAUCAUGUAUUUCAGGUGAAACAGCAAUACAUGCAUCGGUAAUGUGUAUAUAUCCUGUUAAUUUACUGAAUUAAUUGAAAGUGCUUAAGAGGCCACAAAGAAAUUAAACUUUUUGUUUUAUAUAUAGUAACAACAUAUUUUUUCUUGAUGAAUUCAUCGUUCUUGUUAUAUGGGGUCAUUGACUGCCAGUAUCGCCGAUCACAUUGCAUGAGUGGGUUUCAUAAAAUUUCCGAAAUAAAUUCUGAAUAAUUUUUUUACGACAGAGAAAUACUCGAAAUGUGAUAGGAAAAAUUGUAUUUUUGCUCAUUGAAACCAAAUAGGAUAUGUUUCUAUAAGCAUGCAGACAGGCUAAAUCCUUCUUUUCAGAGAGCAUGAAAAGUCUAAAAUCACUAGAACAUAGGAGAAAUGCGGUGAUUAAGUUUAAGAUCUACAAGUAUCAGCAAAAUAGAAGUAAAUUUUUUUGUUCAUUCAUAAGUGUCCUGUUUGUGAAUUAGAUUUUUAUGCACCUUCCGAUUCGCAUCAAUAAACUCUCUGUGUACGUGCCCUCUCCCUUUUUUGUUAUUUUUAUUUUUCUCUAUAUGUUGCAGAUUAUGCUAGUGAAAAUGAAUUGGAACAUCUAAGGACUUCGGUAGAUUUUCUGGUGGAACUUUGUGAAACUGUCUCUCCUCUCAGAGUGUGGCUCUUUCUAUUCUUCCUUUAUUGCUCAAUCUUGUUUUUUGUGCAAUAUAAUAAUUUGCACUCCCCUACUUAGUACCAUUAGUUUGGAUAUUUCUCAUGCAUAUGUUGCAGGUUGAGGAGAGUAAUUUUAAGAACUGGUCACACCAGGCCAUUGAUUUCAUUCUUGGUAGGAUAUUUUCUUUUCAGUUGUCCUUUUUGUUUCUAAAAGCAUAAGCUACACUAAAAUUAGGAGCCAUAUCUACCACCAAAUCACAAAUGGUGACACAUAAUCCCUUCUAUAUGGAGAUGAACAGAAGUAUUUAUGUGUAUAACUGCAGUUAUGGUCUUCUUUCUUUCCGUGCUUGGGGGGUAAUUUCUGG
rnacentral:lncRNA from 1 species